rnacentral:rRNA from 1 species
GCUCAGAUUGAACGCUGGCGGCAGGCGUAACACAUGCAAGUCGAACGGUAACAGGAAGCAGCUUGCUGCUUCGCUGACGAGUGGCGGACGGGUGAGUAAUGUCUGGGAAACUGCCUGAUGGAGGGGGAUAACUACUGGAAACGGUGGCUAAUACCGCAUAACGUCGCAAGACCAAAGAGGGGGACCUUCGGGCCUCUUGCCAUCAGAUGUGCCCAGAUGGGAUUAGCUAGUUGGUGAGGUAACGGCUCACCAAGGCGACGAUCCCUAGCUGGUCUGAGAGGAUGACCAGCCACACUGGAACUGAGACACGGUCCAGACUCCUACGGGAGGCAGCAGUGGGGAAUAUUGCACAAUGGGCGCAAGCCUGAUGCAGCCAUGCCGCGUGUAUGAAGAAGGCCUUCGGGUUGUAAAGUACUUUCAGCGGGGAGGAAGGUGUUGUGGUUAAUAACCGCAGCAAUUGACGUUACCCGCAGAAGAAGCACCGGCUAACUCCGUGCCAGCAGCCGCGGUAAUACGGAGGGUGCAAGCGUUAAUCGGAAUUACUGGGCGUAAAGCGCACGCAGGCGGUCUGUCAAGUCGGAUGUGAAAUCCCCGGGCUCAACCUGGGAACUGCAUUCGAAACUGGCAGGCUUGAGUCUUGUAGAGGGGGGUAGAAUUCCAGGUGUAGCGGUGAAAUGCGUAGAGAUCUGGAGGAAUACCGGUGGCGAAGGCGGCCCCCUGGACAAAGACUGACGCUCAG